rnacentral:lncRNA from 1 species
UACAUAAAUCCAUAGAAAACACAUAGAUCUUAAGGGUUUGAACAUCCAAAUCAAAACCCCCUUUCAUAAAAAUUCCAUAGAAAGAGAUUAGAGAGAGAUGUUAUACCUUUCUUUUCUUCUCCUUCUUCCUUCUUCUUCAUGGAGAUCCUUCCAUCUCCUCCUCUUCCCACACAAGGGCUUCGGCCACUUCCCUUUUCUCUCCCUCUCUUCCUCCCAUUUCUUCUUUCUCUCCCUUUC